rnacentral:lncRNA from 1 species
CUCAGAUCUCAGUCGUUGGAAGCUCAAUGGCGUUUCCAAUCAAUCAGACGCCAUGCAUGUUGCAUGGGAAAAUUAGGCAAUUGGGAAAUGAGAAUUAUGAUUCGUUGUUGGUAUUGGGGUAUUGUGUGUGUAUGUUCUCAGCAUCUCAGCGGAUUUGCCUGUAUAAAAAUAUUGCAUAAUUAUCGCUGAUAAUUGUGAGGCAAGGCAGGAAUCCUCCACUCCCGAAAUCCUUCGUUCUGUCAGUUGGUUGGGUUCCGGGGGUUGUUUGUUGACAACUUGAUGUGGUCGUUGUUCCUCUGUCAUCAUCUUAAAGCCAGUUCCCCGUUCCCUGGCAUUUUUGUUGCCGGGACUUUAAGGAAGUCAGUAAGGCAACGUCGUCGAAUGGCUUGAUUGACAGUCGUACCGAGACUACACGACUCGUUGAGGCUCAGCAUGCCGAAC